GACGAACGCUGGCGGCGUGCUUAACACAUGCAAGUCGAACGGAAAGGCCCCUUUGGGGGUACUCGAGUGGCGAACGGGUGAGUAACAAGUGAGUAACCAGCCCUUGACUGCGGGAUAACUAAAGGAAACUGGGGCGAAUACAGGAUACGAAGCAUUGCUGCAUGGAGGGGGGGGGAAAGCUUCGGCGGUUUUGGAUGGACUCGCGGCUUAUCAGCUUGUUGGUGGGGUAGUGGCUUACCAAGGCUUUGACGGGUAGCCGGCCUGAGAGGGCGACCGGCCACAUUGGGACUGAGAUACGGCCCAGACUCCUACGGGAGGCAGCAGUGGGGAAUAUUGCACAAUGGGCGGAAGCCUGAUGCAGCAACGCCGCGUGCGGGAUGACGGCCUUCGGGUUGUAAACCGCUUUCAGCAGGGGCGAAGCUUGUGGUGACGUUACCUGCAGAAGAAGCACCGGCUAACUACGU
rnacentral:rRNA from 1 species